CAGCGCCGCGGGAAUACGGAGGGGGCUAGCGUUAUUCGGAAUUACUGGGCGCAAAGCGCACGUAGGCGGCUUCGCAAGUCAGAGGUGAAAGCCUGGAGCUCAACUCCAGAAUUGCCUUUGAGACUGCGUCGCUCGAAUCCGGGAGAGGUGAGUGGAAUUCCGAGUGUAGAGGUGAAAUUCGUAGAUAUUCGGAAGAACACUAGUGGCGAAGGCGGCUCACUGGACCGGCAUUGACGCUGAGGUGCGAAAGCGUGGGGAGCAAACAGGAUUAGAUACCCCGGUAGUCCCUGUCUCUUAUACA
rnacentral:rRNA from 1 species